GCAGGGCUGCCAACUGUUUGCAAAUGAACUGCCUGUUAGUUCAUGCGAACAGCUGCAGGCGGCGCUAGUGUGCAAUGCAAGUGUUUUUGUGAAUUCCGCGACGUCUGUGCAUAAAAUUCGAAAUUAAAGUAACAUUAAUGCGUAAAUUUAAUUAAAUUGUGUGCUCCCAGUUAAACUCAGUGCUCAAAGUUGUCAAUGCACACUCCACAGCAAGUGUCAGACGCAUAGUGCCAACUGGCGACAGACGCAGCCAACAAUAACAAUCGCCCCAGAGACGCCUUCACAGCAAACGGGAACGGAAUCCAACAACAAUCGCAGCAGCAGCAGCGGCAGAAGCAGCGCUGAGUUGCUCUAUUUCUAAAUUUGCUUCUGGCUGCAACCUGGAGAUGGCGACGUGUGAAUUGUUGUUGCACUCUGCAGCUAGUUACAUUUUUUAUUUGCGUUCUUGUUUUAGUGUUAGCUAGUUUUUGGCAAACAAAUUGUGUAUGUCAAAUAAAUGCAAAAGCUUGCAAUGCUUCUUUUUUUUUUCUUAUUGGCAGCGCUUUUGCCUUGUCGCUUUUGUGUCAUAUUCGCGUCUUUGUUUUGCCGGCUUCGCUGCGACGCCCUUUUCCAAUAUGAAGUCGCAUGUGCAGCUGGUCUCAUUGGUUCUGUGUGCGCGCGUGUGUGUGUGCGUGUGUGUGUGUAUGGGUGUCGCUCGUUGCGUACGUGAGUAAAACACAUCGCUUACAAUUGAUAUAAGAACAAUAAGAUUCUAUCAAAAGCUCAUAAGGCAUAUCUCAACACAGAACAUUAAAACAACGCAGUGUUUGCUCGCUAAUUGGAAUUGUUCGAAUUGGGAUUCAGAUUAGAAUUAACUACAACUUUGGAAAGUCCCUUACUCAAAAUUGGAAAUGUGAAUUAUGAAUGGGGAUACAUGAAAGUUCUACAUUAUAUUAUACAAUUAUUAAUAUUAUUUUAAGAAACAUUUAAUGAGAGCUGUCUAUAAUAUACAUCAGUUUCUUACAGUACCUUUUGUCGAGGGACUACUGUAAUAAAUUGCUAGGUACUCGUUUAUUUAUAAGAAGCUGAUUGUGGCUGAUUGGAGGGUGUGGGUGUGUGUGUGUGUGUGCCACUUGUUUGCCUCGGUGCAAGAUUGUAACACGAAAAGCUCUCCACCCAACAUGCCUAACCCUAUGCAACCCUGUCGCAGUUGUUGUAGGCGGCGGUUUUUGAUGUCGUCUUCGGGCCAUUACGAUUUUAUGGCUUUUGUAUUUUCCCUUGGCAGUGCUUGAAAAAAAAAAAAAAGCUGUAAACCGCAGCUAGAACAAUUAUUGAAAUAACAAAAACAGUUCACGAAUUCCGCAUACCCUUUUCAAAACAUAAAGCCUUGUAAUGUUUCAUUCCAACCUGUUGCGGGCAAGACAUUCCAAUUAGAUUUUGGUACGUGCCACUAAAUCGUAUUGGAGCCAUGGCUCAUAUAUUUUGUAUGUAAAAAGAGCAUUCGAACGUUGACAUUGCUUCACGUAUAUGACUUAUAUUAAUUUUGUGGAAUAUUAUUGGUUGAUUUCAGUAUUUAUUGCAGUGCCUGUCCGCGCUCAACGUAGCGCUAGCUAGCAUCAGUGAUGAGCAAAAUAUCACUGAAUUGCGAUCGAUCACUGCAUAGAAUAAAUAUCGGCUAUGGCUGAAGUGUAUACAGAUUAUCGAAACACUGGCAGUUAUCGAAGCUGUGGCUCAGGUUCAGCUCGAAACGUAGCUUCAGGUCCAGUAUCAAAGUAAUGUAGUUGUGAUGCAAUCAAUAAAGUUAUCCAAGUUUUAUAUCAGGCUCAGCUCUUAGCGAAGUUAUAGUUCAAGUUAUCGAAAACAUAUCGAUUAUCGGAAAUUAUCGGAAGCUCCUUUUUACCGCUGACAUGUUCCAUAUUAGAUUAAUUUACUACAAUUUUGUGUUAAAUAUAUAUGAAAAUAAAACGAAAAUGAUAUUUUCAAGAAUACAAUACCAUAAUAUUCCUAAAAAAUA